UUUUAAUGGUGUGGUUAGCUAGAUUAUUUUACUCUAUUAAAUAACUUAAUUGUUGAGUAAACUUGAAUGCUUAAAAAAACUAGAUUAAGUUUUUAAUUCUACUUAAUUAUCAACUGCUUUUAACGCAAAAAAUUUAUUUGGAUUUGAUAAAAGGGAACAACAUUCUCAGAGUUUUUCUUCUUUAACUCUAAAAAUUAAAAAUAAUAAUAUCAGUGGUUUUUAUAAAGGAAUUACUAUAGUUAAAAAGGCUGAAAGGGAAAAAUACGAUGAUUUGUUUCAAGAAAGAAAGUGACUUACUUUAAAUUGUCAUUUUAAAAUUUUUAUUCUUUAAUGAUAUUCUGGUGUUAUUACCAAAUGUUUAGCAGUAUGAAACCUAUAAUAUUAUAUACCAUACUAUAUACCCUAUUUUACUUAUAAAGUUAAUAAUCUGUAAAGUAAUUUGUAUAAAUUUUUUAAUUGUAAAAUUGCUACAUAAGAAGACAAGUUGUUAGAUGAAAUUCAAACAUUUUCUAUGUUUGUGUUGUGUAGGUCAAAAAAUAAUAAACAAAGAUGACCAAACGAUUCAUUUUAAGACACAUCAAUCUUCAUCAUCUUUAAAUAAAAAGGAUAAACAUUAUGGAUUUCCAUUAUCUCAAGCAAAAACAAAGAGUUCAAAAUAUUAGUGGUAAGAACUGUCAAAAACUUGUGAUAGCUAUGAUGAAGAGUUUUAUGACAAAUUCACUCAUGGCCAAAUCUAAUAUGGCAGCUGGAAAAGGCAAAGAAUCUUUUUAGUUAAACCAAGCUAUACAACUUAAUAAAAGUUUGUGCAUCGACUUCUCACAGAGUCGAUUGUCGAUGCAAUAAUUGCUGAUUCGUGAAAGCGGGCAACUUUUGCUUGUCUUAAAGUGCCUUAAAUCCAACAGAUAUCAUCGUUAUAAUAUUACUUUGUUUGUAAAUUGUUUUAAAAAAUAAAUUAAAAAAUAACUUAUAAAUAAAAAUUUUAUU